rnacentral:rRNA from 1 species
AGUCGAUGAAGGACGGGACUAACGCCGAUAUGCUUCGGGGAGCUGUAAGUAAGCUUUGAUCCGAAGAUUUCCGAAUGGGGAAACCCACCAUACGUAAUGGUAUGGUAUCCUUAUCUGAAUACAUAGGGUAAGGAAGACAGACCCAGGGAACUGAAACAUCUAAGUACCUGGAGGAAGAGAAAGCAAAUGCGAUUUCCUGAGUAGCGGCGAGCGAAACGGAACAUAGCCCAAACCAAGAGGCUUGCCUCUUGGGGUUGUAGGACAUUCUAUACGGAGUUACAAAGGAACGAGGUAGACGAAGCGACCUGGAAAGGUCCGUCGUAGAGGGUAACAACCCCGUAGUCGAAACUUCGUUCUCUCUUGAAUGUAUCCUGAGUACGGCGGAACACGUGAAAUUCCGUCGGAAUCUGGGAGGACCAUCUCCCAAGGCUAAAUACUCCCUAGUGAUCGAUAGUGAACCAGUACCGUGAGGGAAAGGUGAAAAGCACCCCGGAAGGGGAGUGAAAGAGAUCCUGAAACCGUGUGCCUACAAAUAGUCAGAGCCCGUUAACGGGUGAUGGCGUGCCUUUUGUAGAAUGAACCGGCGAGUUACGAUCCCGUGCGAGGUUAAGCUGAAGAGGCGGAGCCGCAGCGAAAGCGAGUCUGAAUAGGGCGUUUAGUACGUGGUCGUAGACCCGAAACCAGGUGAUCUACCCAUGUCCAGGGUGAAGUUCAGGUAACACUGAAUGGAGGCCCGAACCCACGCACGUUGAAAAGUGCGGGGAUGAGGUGUGGGUAGCGGAGAAAUUCCAAUCGAACCUGGAGAUAGCUGGUUCUCCCCGAAAUAGCUUUAGGGCUAGCCUUAAGUGUAAGAGUCUUGGAGGUAGAGCACUGAUUGGACUAGGGGUCCUCAUCGGAUUACCGAAUUCAGUCAAACUCCGAAUGCCAAUGACUUAUCCUUAGGAGUCAGACUGCGAGUGAUAAGAUCCGUAGUCAAAAGGGAAACAGCCCAGACCGCCAGCUAAGGUCCCAAAGUGUGUAUUAAGUGGAAAAGGAUGUGGAGUUGCUUAGACAACUAGGAUGUUGGCUUAGAAGCAGCCACCAUUUAAAGAGUGCGUAAUAGCUCACUAGUCGAGUGACUCUGCGCCGAAAAUGUACCGGGGCUAAAUACACCACCGAAGCUGCGGAUUGAUACCAAUGGUAUCAGUGGUAGGGGAGCGUUCUAAGGACAGUGAAGUCAGACCGGAAGGACUGGUGGAGUGCUUAGAAGUGAGAAUGCCGGUAUGAGUAGCGAAAGACGGGUGAGAAUCCCGUCCACCGAAUGCCUAAGGUUUCCUGAGGAAGGCUCGUCCGCUCAGGGUUAGUCAGGACCUAAGCCGAGGCCGACAGGCGUAGGCGAUGGACAACAGGUUGAUAUUCCUGUACCACCUCUUUAUCGUUUGAGCAAUGGAGGG